AACGUAGGAGACAAACGUUAUCCGGAGUUACUGGGCGUAAAGGGCGUGUAGGUGGUUUCGUAAGUCUGGCGUGAAAUUUUUCGGCUUAACCGGGAAAGGUCGUCGGAUACUGCGGAACUAGAGGACGGUAGAGGCGUGUGGAAUUCCGGGUGUAGUGGUGAAAUGCGUAGAGAUCCGGAGGAACACCAGUGGCGAAGGCGACACGCUGGGCCGUACCUGACACUGAGGCGCGAAAGCUAGGGGAGCGAACAGG
rnacentral:rRNA from 1 species